rnacentral:rRNA from 1 species
UGGGGAAUCUUGGACAAUGGGCGCAAGCCUGAUCCAGCCAUGCCGCGUGAGUGAAGAAGGUCUUCGGAUUGUAAAGCUCUUUUGCCAGGGACGAUAAUGACGGUACCUGGAGAAUAAGCCCCGGCAAACUUCGUGCCAGCAGCCGCGGUAAUACGAAGGGGGCUAGCGUUGUUCGGAAUUACUGGGCGUAAAGCGCACGUAGGCGGGCUAUUAAGUCAGGGGUGAAAUCCCGGAGCUCAACUCCGGAACUGCCUUUGAUACUGGUAGUCUAGAGAUCGGAAGAGGUUAGUGGAAUUCCCAGUGUAGAGGUGAAAUUCGUAGAUAUUGGGAAGAACACCAGUGGCGAAGGCGGCUAACUGGUCCGAUACUGACGCUGAGGUGCGAAAGCGUGGGGAGCAAACAGG